rnacentral:rRNA from 1 species
UACGUAGGGUGCAAGCGUUGUCCGGAAUUAUUGGGCGUAAAGAGCUCGUAGGCGGUCUGUCGCGUCCGUUGUGAAAACUCGAGGCUCGACCUCGGGCUUGCAGUGGAUACGGGCAGACUAGAGUGCGGUAGGGGAGACUGGAAUUCCUGGUGUAGCGGUGGAAUGCGUAGAGAUCGGGAAGAACAUCAGUGGCGAAGGCGGCCUGCUGGGCUGUUGCUGACGCUGAGGCGCGACAGCGUGGGGAGCGAACAGG